rnacentral:rRNA from 1 species
UACGUAGGGUCCGAGCGUUGUCCGGAAUUAUUGGGCGUAAAGGGCUCGUAGGCGGUUCGUCACGUCGGGAGUGAAAACUCGGAGCUUAACUCCGAGCCUGCUUCCGAUACGGGCAGACUAGAGGUAGGCAGGGGAGAGCGGAACUCCUGGUGUAGCGGUGGAAUGCGCAGAUAUCAGGAAGAACACCGGUGGCGAAGGCGGGUCUCUGGGCCGAUACUGACGCUGAGGCACGAAGGCCAGGGGAGCAAACGGG